GUAGGGUUGAACCUGCGGAGGGACAUUA
rnacentral:rRNA from 1 species